rnacentral:rRNA from 1 species
UACGAGGGGGCAAGCGUUGUUCGGAAUUAUUGGGCGUAAAAGGGCGCGUAGGUGGUGGCUUAAGCGUGCGGUGAAAGCUCGGGGACUCGAACCCCGAGUCGGCCGUGCGAACUGGGCGUCAGCUGGAGCAUAGUAGGAGGCAGGUGGAAUUCCGGGUGUAGCGGUGGAAUGCGUAGAGAUCCGGAAGAACGACCGGUGGCGAAGGCGGCCUGAGCUGGGCUACUGGGCUGACACUGAGGCGCGACG